GUUUAAGUUCUGAGCCUUUCACUGUCACCAAACUAAACAAGUAAUAGACAUUGAGAUUUGUCUAAACAAUGCAGUGAUGCUGCAGAUUAUGCAAGAUGUUUUGCGAGGUUUGGCAGAGACCCAGAAGUUGCACGAAUGUUUACUUGUCACGUCAUCAUCAUGGGAAUUCUCUGGACCAAGCCCUGGUUUACUCACAUCCAUCCAGUAUUUAAGGCACAGAAUCACAGAUGCUAGAGUAAAUACAGACUGUGACAUUAACUGACAAGUGACACUAACAGGACAAGAACAUCUGCUCAAGCUUUUGAUUUGCAGGAUGAAGACUUUACAUGCAAUGCUACUGAUGAUGUUUAUUGCAUCAGUCUUUUCAAAACCAUCUCGUCUGCACAAAAGAUCUGAUUCAUCAGACUCGGAGGGUUCGGAGGAAAAUGAUUCACGCGGAGGAAUCAACGAGGAUUCACAGUCGGUCGAGAAUUCUGACCAGUCUAAUGAUUCUUCUGAGGAAGUUGUGCUGAACACAAUCUCUCCAAUUCGCACAACAAGAUGAAUCAUCAGGACAGAAGACAUCACGCACCGUGUUACUGUGGAUCUGACAACUGAUAUAAUGAGCAAUAAUUAUAAUACCAAUAUAAUCUCUUGCAAUACUACUACUUAAUCAUCUUUUCAUGCAAAAAAAAAAAAAAAAAAAAAAAAAAAGUUUAAUGGUGUACAAUUCAUUAUGGUUUCCACUAAUGAUACUGAUUGACGUAACUUUAAACUUUAAAAUUAAUUACUUUUAUAUUCAGAAUAAAAAAUCUUUCAAAUGCAA